CAGCGCCACGAGUGGUAACCACGUUUAUUGGGCCUAAAGCGUCCGUAGCCGGUUUGAUAAAUCUUUUGUGAAAUUGUACAGCUUAACGGUACAGCGUGCAAGAGACACUGUCAAACUUGAGACCGGGAGGAGUCAGAAGUAUUCCAGAGGGAGCGGUAAAAUGUUAUAAUCUCUGGAGGACUACCUGUGGCGAAGGCGUCUGACCAGAACGGAUCUGACGGUGAGGGACGAAAGCCAGGGGAGCGAACCGGAUUAGAUACCCGAGUAGUCC
rnacentral:rRNA from 1 species